ACAGCCUGUUCUCUGCAGCAUUCCCCCAGCUGCUUCCUGGCCGCUGGCUUUUAUUUCUGCCGGACGGUGUUCAUGGAUGAUGUCAUCUCCCCGCACCAGUUUCAGCUGCAGAUAAAAGCAGCUGAUGAACCGUGUGGGUGUUGUUUUACUGUGGCUUGUCUGGCCCUGCUGCUUCUGAAAAAGGGCCAGAAGGUUGGGUACCUCUGGUGUAACAAGGUUUGAAAAGCACUGCUUUAAGAUGGACUGCUGGGCAAACUGUAGCAAGCUGAGCACAGACUUCCUCACUUACUUCACACUUUCCCUUUCAGACAUGGCAACGUUCCACUGCUGAAUCUUCUCCAAACAGCAGUUGCCAGCAAUAAAAGAUCUACAAUUUCUG